rnacentral:rRNA from 1 species
UGGGGAAUAUUGGACAAUGGGCGAAAGCCUGAUCCAGCCAUGCCGCGUGUGUGAAGAAGGUCUUCGGAUUGUAAAGCACUUUAAGUUGGGAGGAAGGGCAGUAAGCGAAUACCUUGCUGUUUUGACGUUACCGACAGAAUAAGCACCGGCUAACUCUGUGCCAGCAGCCGCGGUAAUACAGAGGGUGCAAGCGUUAAUCGGAAUUACUGGGCGUAAAGCGCGCGUAGGUGGUUCGUUAAGUUGAAUGUGAAAGCCCCGGGCUCAACCUGGGAACUGCAUCCAAAACUGGCGAGCUAGAGUAGGGCAGAGGGUGGUGGAAUUUCCUGUGUAGCGGUGAAAUGCGUAGAUAUAGGAAGGAACACCAGUGGCGAAGGCGACCACCUGGGAUCAUACUGACACUGAGGUGCGAAAGCGUGGGGAGCAAACAGG